rnacentral:lncRNA from 1 species
UCCUAGGACAUAAACCUUCUAAUGCAGGUCCUUAACCAGUAGGUGAGCAGCUCUAAAGCUGUCCUGAGAUGAAGUGUGCUCCUGCUGUGCUCUGGUGCAUUCGGAAGCUGACAGAAAAUGAUGUUAUUUACCCCUGACAACCAGGAGGAGGCAGCAAAGUUGAGCUCACACUUUGCAGAGGGUCUCUUUGGGGAAGAUGGCAGUGGCUAUGGAAGUGGCCACGAGGACCUUUCCUGGGGGGCUGAAAACGGAGACACAAUCACCUCCUCUCGGCCGCUGUGCUGGUCAUACUCGCGGUACGUGGCAGCGCUGGACUGCGAGGAGCUCCUGCUGCAGAGACAUGCCCAGCAGGAGCAGGGCCUCGCCAGUCAGUUUACCUCCCGAACAGGUUCCCGUGCGUGUGACUUCAGAUCACGGACAGCUGACUCGUCCUCUGGACGUCGCCGUGUGUCCAAGGUCAUACGGCGGCUCGGCAACUCUGUGUCCUGCCCUCACCGCGGCCACAGCUGAGCAGCAUGGGACCCUCCUGGGAAGUCACUUGCCUUCCUGGGGUUAACUGACUUGAUAGGUCUGCUGUGGCAAGACAGGAAGUAGGCAGGAUUCUAAUUCCUGUGUGGAAUCAGUACUUACACUCCAGCUGUACCCUGGUACUUCAGCCCAGGAUAUUCAGCCUGAUGUUAUCCUGUCUGCAGGCUCCUCCACCCAAGGACACAAUGUCCACACAGAAGCUGCCGUUGAUCAUUCAGUGUUUAGACUCACAGAGCCUGGAGGGACCCGGUUCAGUUCUCUCUCCUGCCAGCAGGGGGCCUUUCAGUAGCCCCUCCCUCUCUUCCACCAUCUAGUGUGAAGUAUGUCACUAGUUAGUCUAAUAGACACCUGCCUACAGUACUUAUCUUUAUACUCUGAUGUGAUUAUUAAGUGCAUCCUCUAAUUCAU